rnacentral:rRNA from 1 species
AGCGAACGCUGGCGGCAGGCUUAACACAUGCAAGUCGAACGGGCGUAGCAAUACGUCAGUGGCAGACGGGUGAGUAACGCGUGGGAACGUACCUUUUGGUUCGGAACAACCCAGGGAAACUUGGGCUAAUACCGGAUAAGCCCUUACGGGGAAAGAUUUAUCGCCGAAAGAUCGGCCCGCGUCUGAUUAGCUAGUUGGUGUGGUAACGGCGCACCAAGGCGACGAUCAGUAGCUGGUCUGAGAGGAUGAUCAGCCACAUUGGGACUGAGACACGGCCCAAACUCCUACGGGAGGCAGCAGUGGGGAAUAUUGGACAAUGGGCGCAAGCCUGAUCCAGCCAUGCCGCGUGGAUGAUGAAGGCCCUAGGGUUGUAAAGUCCUUUUAACGGGAAGAUAAUGACGGUACCCGUAGAAUAAGCCCCGGCUAACUUCGUGCCAGCAGCAGCCGCA